rnacentral:rRNA from 1 species
UACGGAGGAUCCGAGCGUUAUCCGGAUUUAUUGGGUUUAAAGGGUGCGCAGGCCGGAUGUUAAGUCGGCGGUGAAAUUUUGCAGCUCAACUGUAAAAGUGCCUUCGAUACUGGUUUUCUUGAGUGCGUAAGAGGCAGGCGGAAUUCGUUGUGUAGCGGUGAAAUGCUUAGAUAUGACGAGGAACUCCUAUUGCGAAGGCAGCUUGCUGGGUCGUUACUGACGCUGAUGCUCGAAGGUGCGGGGAUCAAACAGGAUUAGAUACCCCGGUAGU